AGGGUUUGAUUAUGGCUCAGAACGUACGCUGGCGGCACGCCUAACACAUGCAAGUCGAACGAAGUAGCAAUACUUAGUGGCAGACGGGUGAGUAACAUGUAGGUAUCUACCCUUUGGCCUGGAAUAACACGAGGAAACUUGUGCUAAUACCGGAUAAGUCUUUACGGAGAAAGCUUUAUGCACCAUUGGAUGAGCCUGCACUUGAUUAGUUUGUUGGUGGGGUAAUGGCCUACCAAGACUGUGAUCAAUAGCUGAUUUGAGAGGAUGAUCAGCCACAUUGGGACUGAGACACGGCCCAAACUCCUACGGGAGGCAGCAGUGGGGAAUCUUGCACAAUGGAGGAAACUCUGAUGCAGCGAUGCCGCGUGAGUGAAGAAGGCCUUUGGGUUGUAAAGCUCUUUCGUCGGGGAAGAAAAUGACUGUACCCGAAUAAGAAGGUCCGGCUAACUUCGUGCCAGCAGCCGCGGUAAUACGAAGGGACCUAGCGUAGUUCGGAAUUACUGGGCUUAAAGAGUUCGUAGGUGGUUGAAAAAGUUAGUGGUGGAAUCCCAGAGCUUAACUCUGGAACUGCCAUUAAAACUUUUCAGCUAGAGUAUGAUAGAGGAAAGCAGAAUUUCUAGUGUGGAGGUGAAAUUCGUAGAUAUUAGAAAGAAUACCAAUUGCGAAGGCAGCUUUCUGGAUCAUUACUGACACUGAGGAACGAAAGCAUGGGUAGCGAAGAGGAUUAGAUACCCUCGUAGUCCAUGCCGUAAACGAUGUGUGUUAGACGUUGGAAAUUUAUUUUCAGUGUCGCAGCGAAAGCGAUAAACACACCGCCUGGGGAGUACGACCGCAAGGUUAAAACUCAAAUGAAUUGACGGGGACCCGCACAAGUAGUGGAGCAUGUGGUUUAAUUCGAAGAUACGCGCAGAACCUUACCAACACUUGACAUGUUCGUCGCGACUCUAAGAGAUUAGAGUUUUCGGUCCGGCCGGACGAAACACAGGUGCUGCAUGGCUGUCGUCAGCUCGUGUCGUGAGAUGUUGGGUUAAGUCCCGCAACGAGCGCAACCCUCACUUUUAGUUGCCAUCAUUUAGUUGGGCACUCUGAAAGAACUGCCAGUGAUAAGCUGGAGGAAGGUGGGGAUGACGUCAAGUCCUCAUGGCCCUUACGUGUUGGGCUACACACGUGCUACAAUGGUAUCUACAACAGGAAGCAAGACUGCGAGGUCAGGCAAAUCCUUAAAAGAUACCUCAGUUCGGAUUGCACUCUGCAACUCGAGUGCAUGAAGCUGGAAUUACUAGUAAUCGUGGAUCAGCGUGCCACGGUGAAUGCGUUCCCGGGUCUUGUACACACCGCCCGUCACACCAUGGGAGUUGGUUCUACCUUAAGGCAAGGUUUAAAACCCUUGACCACGGUAUAGUCAGCGACUGGGGUGAAGUCGUAACAAGGUAACCAAGGG
rnacentral:rRNA from 1 species